UACGUAGGGUGCAGGCGUUAAUCGGAAUUACUGGGCGUAAAGCGUGCGCAGGCGGUUUGCUAAGACAGAUGUGAAAUCCCCGGGCUUAACCUGGGAACUGCAUUUGUGACUGCAUGGCUGGAGUGCGGCAGAGGGGGAUGGAAUUCCGCGUGUAGCAGUGAAAUGCGUAGAUAUGCGGAGGAACACCGAUGGCGAAGGCAAUCCCCUGGGCCUGCACUGACGCUCAUGCACGAAAGCGUGGGGAGCAAACAGG
rnacentral:rRNA from 1 species